rnacentral:tRNA from 2 species
GGAGAGGUGGCCGAGCGGCCGAAGGCGUUCGCCUGCUAAGCGAAUAGGGGGUGUAAGCCUCCUCGAGGGUUCAAAUCCCUCCCUCUCCGCCA